UUUUUUUUAACAACUAUAAGCAAUCUUGACUCCAAGACCCAGACUCCAGGUAACAAGGAUCUCCUCACUAAGGAGAAAUCCUUCAACAUUCACAAUCAUUUACUAGGAGACACCAGUGAGGUCUCCACUGUACAGUGACUGACUCUCAGACAAAACACCACAACCCAAACACCAACCUUAUAUUUCUUAAGCUUCCAUACUACCUCUGAGUAUGACAUUACCAAGUCAUUUAUCUUCUCUAAAUCUACAUUUUAUUAUCUUUAAUAUGAAGGGAUUGUAUUAUGGAUCUAAUUUCCCUUCUAGCUCUAACAUGAAAUAUUUGUUGGAUAUAAUAAUCUAUAUUAACAUUGUCAAUGGCAGUUUCUAUUUUAAGCUUUAAAUACCAAGGGCAACAUAAUGCUUCAUAGUACAAAAAUAUCUCAUUGCCAUAUAUCCUUUGAGAGAAAUAUUUCUGCAAAACUUUCCUUGCUCUCCUUGGGGGUUGGGUCAUGCCACUAUUAGACUCUCUAAGCCAGGAGACAGAUGCCAGUGAUACAGGAUGGCAGGUAGGGAUUUUAUCGAUUUGAUUUGAACUGAAAUGCUUUGAAAAUGCCCAGGGUUUUUCCUUGGAAAAUAUUUUUGCCUCUAAUAUUAUCUCCAGUGAUGAAGAGUUAGUGUCAAAGGUUUGUGAAUGGAUUUCAGAAUGUACAAGUGGCACCUCCCAUCUUUAGCUGUCUACAUUUUUUUAAUAACCGCUUGCAUAUUUUUGGUCAACCACUGUAAAAUAAACAGUCCUUCCCAAAUGUUUUUGUUUUCUUU
rnacentral:lncRNA from 1 species